ACUACAGUCCAUGGGUCGCAAAAGAGUCCGACACCGCUUAGUGACUAAACAACAACUCCUCAGGCAAAGACUGAAGUACCUGAAAUUGUUUUCACCAUUCAACCCAAUUCUAAAUGUUUGGAGAAAAGAAUAAAAUAGUGGUUCUGUAAAGUGUUAUAGUUGGCCCUUGGCCCAUAGGCUGAUGUGGACAUAAGAUUUAUAAACAGCAGGGUAGAAACAGGAAAUCACAGGUCAGAUAGUUCUUUAGGUGUAGGAAAAAAAAGAUACAUUUAAAAUUUAAGUCAAUAUGAAGGAAGAGAAAACAGAAAACCCAUUGGCCAAAAUCAGCUCUAAUCCAGGAAGGCUGUCAAGAAGGAUGUGGGAUUCACAGGUGAGUUAAUUUAGAACAAUCAAGGCGCUAUUUUCUAAGUAUUCUCAUAGCCCCUGACGCGGUUAGGACGCGUAAUGCUGAGCUUGGCCCCAUUUCACAGAGGAGGGGACUCGCUGGGUGUCUCCGCGGCAGCAGGAGGGCGCGGCUGAAACCCCAAGCCCGGUCCUCCGCUGCCACCAACACCUCCCAGCCUGCCGGGAGGACCGCGGCUUUGUACCAGGUUCCCCCUGCCGGCUGGGACUUUCGACUUUAUCAGCUCGACAGCAGCAAGAACAAAUCAUGCAUUGCUGGAGUGAGUCACCAGGGAACCCAUCUCUGACUGAGUUCUUUGCUGUCCACGGUCCAACACUGCCCCCUCGUGAUGAGGAAACUCACAGCUCAGAAGAGUUAAGCAAUGCUAUCCAAGGCCACUCAGCCCAGAGCAAGACCAACAGGCUUCAAAUGGAGAACCUAUACCCUUCCCACCAUGCACUACAAAAAAGGAAAAGUGGAUCGCAGACCUUUUCAGGGCACAGCGGGUGAGCUGCGUCCACUGCUGAGAGACUGGACAGUUUCAAACUUCACUGUGUGAGUACUUAUAAAGAGGCCAGCGAUUCCAGGCUUGAUGUGGGAAAGUAUGAUUAAAAUGGGACUUGAGCAAAGCUGUGCAGGUGGAUGCUGGUUAAGUACAUGGACAAACUGUUUCGAUUUGAAGCCUGGCCCAACCACUUACUAGCUGGGUGAAACCACCUCCGCAUGGGUUCCCACCCACCACCACCAUAGGGCUUUUUAAAGUUUUAAAUGAAUUAAUAAACGUGAAACAGAGCAGCACCUGGAGCGCAGUGCUUAUG